rnacentral:tRNA from 1 species
GCACCGUUAGCUCAGUUGGAUAGAGUGUUCGGCUACGAACCGAAAGGUCGUGGGUUCGAAUCCUCCACGGUGCA